GGGGGAUGGUUCGGCUAGAGCGCUGAAGAAGGUCGUGUCAAGCUGCGAUAUGCGUCGGGUAGGUGCAAGAAGCCUAUGAUCCGAUGAUGACCUAAUGGGACUUCCUAUUCUUCGGAAUAAUCAGUAAUGAUUGGGAACGCGGGGGAUUGAAGCAUCUUAGUACCCGCAGGAAAAGAAAUCAACCGAGAUACCGUUAUUAAAGGCGAUCGAACGCGGUAUAGGGCAAACUGAAUCCCUUAUCGAAAGGUAAGGGAGAUGUGGUGUUAUAGACUCUUUUACUCCUAAGCUCGAAUACUCAAACUUGGUUGGAAAACCAGGCCAUAGAGGGUGAUAGCCCCUUAGAGGAAGGCGAGUAUGGAGAUUUUAGAUGUUCUCGAGUAGCGUGCGUUGGAUAUCGCGCGUGAAUUUGGGAGGCAUUCACUUCCAACCCUAAAUACGUCUCUAGUCCGAUAGUGUAGUAGUAGCGUGAGCGAAGACUGAAAAGUACCCUUAACGGGAGGUUAAAAGACCUGAAACCAUGCG
rnacentral:rRNA from 1 species